AGAGUUUGAUCAUGGCUCAGAACGAACGCUGGCGGCGUGCCUAACACAUGCAAGUCGCACGAGAAAUCAUGCCUUCGGGCAUGAGAGUAAAGUGGCGCACGGGUGAGUAACGCGUAGGUAACCUGCCCUUGGGUCUGGGAUAACUCGCCGAAAGGCGGGCUAAUACCGGAUAACAUCAGGCAGAGGGAUCUGUCUGAUCAAAGGUGGCCUCUCCAUGGAAGCUGCUGCCUGAGGAUGGGCCUGCGUCCCAUUAGCUAGUUGGUAGGGUAAUGGCCUACCAAGGCUACGAUGGGUAGCUGGUCUGAGAGGAUGAUCAGCCACACUGGAACUGGAACACGGUCCAGACUCCUACGGGAGGCAGCAGUGAGGAAUAUUGCGCAAUGGGGGAAACCCUGACGCAGCGACGCCGCGUGGGUGAAGAAGGCCUUCGGGUCGUAAAGCCCUGUCUGGAGGGAAGAAACUCCCGGCGGAAUAAUACCCGCCUGGGACUGACGGUACCUC
rnacentral:rRNA from 1 species